ACUCGAACCGUAGACCCAGUAGCCCCACAGAGCUGCGGAACUCGGGGUGGGUGAAGCCGACUUAAAACAUGCAAUAAGUCCUGGAUUGCGAGUCCCGGAAGGUAGGGCCGAUAGGGCCCGGACGGAGAAAGCUCAAGGUCACUGCGGUGACCGAAUGAAGGUCACGGGGAAGGGCGGGGCCACGUGCGUCCGCCUCACGCGGGCUGUCCUGCACUGACUCACGGACCAUGCAUCGACUCUUUUAUUUCUUUAGGACUCAAAUUCCACUCGGAUGGGGUCAGGCUUGGGUCUGGGGACCGGGCUGGCACGGGGCUGGUUCGGGUCGCUGCUCGAGCCCAAGGUGGCGUUUUUAAUUCACGUACAGCCUCUUGCUCCGGCGCUUCUUGAGCCCUUCGAUGUAUCGCUGCAGCUCCUUAGUCAGGAAGUGGUCCCUGCCGAUCCCUAACUGGUAGCCUAGGAGGAGGGCAGAGCUCGGCUCAGGGCAGUGAGCAACCGAAAGGUCUCCCCACCAGGGGGCGCCGCAUGUGUGAUUCGAGGAACCGCAGAUGAUUCGAGGUAGCAGUAGCGCAGGGCACUCAGGUCUGUGUUAGCCUGGGGAACUUUGCAUCUCUAAGGGUGCUGAGUGUUAAGGUGGAGGAUGGAUGAGGUCAAGGCUAGGGAAGAGGUUGCAGGCCUGAACUAGGGCGGUGGUAGCGAGCAGUUUGCCCACCUUCUGGACCAGCCACCCACUCUAAGCCAUCAGCUGGCCCUUUAUCACCGCUGGGCUUUCCUACCACAGCAGCAAAAGUUCACCCACAUAAUCCACUGUCCAAAGGCUCCUCACAACUCCCCAACCAGAGGCAGUCGAGGCCACAC
rnacentral:lncRNA from 10 species